rnacentral:rRNA from 1 species
AUUGAACGCUGGCGGCAGGCCUAACACAUGCAAGUCGAACGAGUGGCGGACGUGUGAGUUAUGUCUGGGAAACUGCCUGAUGGAGGGGGAUAACUACUGGAAACGGUAGCUACUACCGCAUACCAUCAGCUGUGCCCAGAUGGGAUUAGGGAGUUGGUGGGGUAACGGCUCACCAAGGCGACGAUCCCUAGCUGGUCGGAGAGGAUGACCAGCCACACUGGAACUGAGAAACGGUCCAGACUCCUACGGAAGGCAGCAGUGGGGAAUAUUGCACAAUGGGCGCAAGCCUGCUGAAGCCAUGCCGCGUGUAUGAAGAAGGCCUUCGGGUUGUAAACUACUUUCAGCUGGGAGGCGUGACCCGCAGAAGAAGCACCGGCUAACUCCGUGCCAGCAGCCGCGGUAAUAC